rnacentral:rRNA from 1 species
CCUACGGGUCGCACCAGUGGGGAAUAUUACACAAUGGGCGCAAGCCUGAUGCAGCCAUGCCGCGUGUAUGAAGAAGGCCUUCGGGUUGUAAAGUACUUUCAGCGGGGAGGAAGGCGAUAAGGUUAAUAACCUUGUCGAUUGACGUUACCCGCAUAAGAAGCACCGGCUAACUCCGUGCUAGCAGCCGCGGUAAUACGGAGGGUGCAAGCGUUAAUCGGAAUUACUGGGCGUAAAGCGCACGCAGGCGGUCUGUCAAGUCGGAUGUGAAAUCCCCGGGCUCAACCUGGGAACUGCAUUCGAAACUGGCAGGCUAGAGUCUUGUAGAGGGGGGUAGAAUUCCAGGCGUAGCGGUGAAAUGCGUAGAGAUCUGGAGGAAUACCGGUGGCGAAGGCGGCCCCCUGGACAAAGACUGACGCUCAGGUGCGAAAGCGUGGGGAGCAAACAGGAUUAGAUACCCCAGUAGUC